rnacentral:lncRNA from 1 species
AUUUUUCUUCUCCUCCCUCACCUGGCCGAACUCCAGCUCCUCUAGCAGCGGCGGUCAGAGAAAUCAACCACAGACCAGCGGCCACAGCCCCCUCGUCUCCAUCCAGUGCUUUCUCCUUCAAUCGACCGCCAUCAGCAACACCACAGACCUUCCCAUCUUCGGCCCCCCGCAGCAGCUCCAGCCUCCAUUCCUCCGCCUCAACGCCGCCAUCAACCUCGCCUCAGCAGCAGCGUCGGUCCAUCCCAUCAGCGCCGUCCACUCCAUCAACCGCAGCAGCUUCCCAGUCAUCGGCGGCCACCAAAAGAGAAGAGAAGAAAACCGAAGCCGAUCUGCCAAGAAGAAAAGACAGAAGCCGAUCUGCCAAAAAAAGGAACCGAAGCAGAUUUUAGAACAAAGACAAAAAUUAAAAUCGACUGUGUUGUGCUUUUUCUGUUAUUGUAGGUAACGGCGGUCCUCACCGCCGGCGUUGGGAGGCUGAGAAGAGGGAGUCGAUCCAGCCCCCUUGCUGUUGGGUUUUCUUGUGGCGGCGCGUGGACCCACGCGCCGCCAGUGGCGGUGGUGCGUGGAUCCACGCGCCGGAACUGUUCACGCAGCCCCCAGGAGUCCUUCCCUGCAAUUUCUGGAGUUUUUAGGGGCCAUUUUGUAAAUUUUAAAGUUUUAAUGUAAUUUUUGUUUAUUUAUUUUAAAUUUGUAAUAUGUGAAUGUAAAAGAAAAAAGAAGAAAAUAAAUAACAAAAAGAGAUGUGUGCUUGUUUGUAUUUUUAUUUAUGUUAUUAAUUUGUAAAAACAAAAG